rnacentral:lncRNA from 1 species
AAUCCCAGAACCCCACAGUCCCCAACUGGAGCUAGAGGUCUCCGAGACCUAGACGCCGCCAUCCUGCUCAUGGCCAUGUGCGAUGCCUACGAAGCGACGCUGCAAGAUCGUAACGAGGCGGAUGAGGAUUGCAGCAUAAGUAGAAAUGAUAAAAAUAAAAAUAACAACAACAAGUCGUGUGACCGUUCCUCGCCGGGAUCAGUUGAGCAGUGGAGGGAGAUGGUGAAGGAUCACCUGGUGAAAGAGCUGCUGACUUCAUCCGACCUCGGAAUUGGAGCAGCAUUCAAUCGAAGUCUGAGUGUAGCAGAGAAGAGUAGAAAGUUCCUGAGUGCCG